UACGUAGGGCGCAAGCGUUGUCCGGAAUUAUUGGGCGUAAAGAGCUCGUAGGCGGUCUGUCGCGUCUGCCGUGAAAACCCGAGGCUUAACCUCGGGCUGGCGGUGGAUACGGGCAGACUAGAGGUAGGUAGGGGAGAAUGGAAUUCCCGGUGUAGCGGUGAAAUGCGCAGAUAUCGGGAGGAACACCGGUGGCGAAGGCGGGUCUCUGGGCCGAAACUGACGCUGAGGAGCGAAAGCGUGGGGAGCGAACAGG
rnacentral:rRNA from 1 species